rnacentral:lncRNA from 1 species
AAACUCCUGUCUCAUUGCAUCCUGCCAUGCUGGGACAGAUGCAGCUUGAGAGUAAUACAUAGGUUCAGAUUCCAAAAUGGAAGAAGAGGAGCCAGAAAAAGCAGGCAGUUGACAGACAUAAUCCUUAAGAUAGGAAGGAGGAUUAUGUUGUCUAGUAGACUUUCUAAGUGUGGGAAGAGGAUGGGAAGGAGGUAACACGGGAGAAGGAAGAUCAGGAUUGAAAGAAGGAAGGGAAGAUGAACCAGCAUCAGGAGAAGCAGGUGCAAGAGAAUCAGAAUUAGAAGGAAUAACAGGAGAAUCAGGGGAAGUAAAUAUAGGAAAGUCUGAGGAAGUGAAGUCAUCAACAGGAGUAAUAGAAGGAAAAUAUGAAGAAGAAGAGUGAGCAGGAGUAGGAUUGUUCUUAAAAGGGAAAUAAGUUUCAUGGAAGACAACAUCCCCAGAAACAAAACACUUCUUGGUAAACAAAUUAUACAGUUUAUAACCCUUCUUGGCAAAGGGGUAACCCAGAAAAACACAAGAAUGAGCUCUAGGUUUCAGCUUGUCCCUUUGAGGAAUAGGGACAUCAGCAUAAGCAAGGCAUCCAAAUGCCCUCAGAUGGGAAUAUGAUGGAGCGUUGCCAUACAAAAUUUCAUGAAACAGCAGCAUAAUCAAGGCACCCAAAUGCCCUCAAAUGGGAAUAUGAUGGAGCUAUGCCAUACAAAAUUUCAUGGGGUGACUUAUGGUGUAGGAUUCUGGAAGGUAUUCUGUUAAGAAGAUAGGUGGCAGUGAGUAGACAAUCCCCCCAGAAGGAUACAGGUAGGCCAGACUGAAAAAGGAGGGCUCUACAUGUUUCAAGAAGUGUUCUGUGUUUUCUUUCAACAACCCCAUUCCAUUGAGGUGAAUGAGGGCAGGAGGUUCGAUGAAUAAUCCCCUGGCUACUAAAAAAGGAUCUGCCCUCAGUACUGGAUCCAAUUCUAAGGCAUUGUCACUUCUAACAGUCUGGACCACAGUGUUAAACUGAGUUUUAACAAAGGAGAUGAAAGACUUAAGCAGGGGAAAAGCAUUGCUUUUGGAUCCCAUUAAGUGUGUCCAGGUUGCCCUAGAAAAAUCAUCAACUAUAGUAAGGAAGUACUUAUAACCCGAAGAGGUAGAAGUGUGGUAAGGCCCCCAAGUAUCCACAUGUAUUAGUUGAAAUGGUCUAGUGGUACUGAUACUGCUGUCAUGAAAGGGAAGUCUAGUCUGUUUGGCCAUAGGGCAGACAGAAUAAGGAAAAGGUUGUUUAGAAGCAAGUGGAAAAGACAAACCAGAAAUAUGUCUCAUAUUUGCAAAAGGAGUAUGUGCUAGUCUUAAAUGCCAAAUGUAAUUCAUAUCAGAUGCAACAGCAUUAUUACAAAUGGAAUUAUUUACAAUUGUAGGCAAGCCAAUAUUUUUGCUGUUAGACACAGUGUCAUCAUUACAAAAAUUAGACAAAGCACACACAGAAGUAGAAGGAGAACCAGGAGAGGAAGAAGGGGAAGGAGGCACCCAAGACAGUUUGUAUAAGCCAGCUUCCUCUUUACCAAGAUCCAGAGGCCUCUUCGGAGAAGGGUCCUGUAUCAUGUGAAGCAAACAGGAAGUUGGAGUGAACAAAACUAUACAGUGCAACUGUUUUAUCAACUUGUGAACAGAAAUCAAGUUGUGUUUAAAUGAAGGAACCAGAAGCACAUUGUGAAGAGUAAGGGAAGAAGUUAAUGCAAAAGAACCGAUCAAGUUGUGUUUAAUGGAAGGAACCAGAAGCACAUUGUGAAGAGUAAGGGAAGAAGUUAGUGCAAAAGAACCUGUACAAGUUACUUUUACUUUGUAACCAUUAGGCAGAAUUACAAGAUAAGGAACAGUCAAAGGUAUGAUGUUAAAAAGCAGGUUUUUGUUAUGUGUCAUGUGAUUAGAUGCCCCUGAAUCUAUGAUCCAGGUGACAGAGUUAAUAUGUGUAAGCAUGCAUAAUUCGGAAUCAGAAACAAGACUCUCAGUCAACAUAGUACCAGCAAAAUUAGCAGCACACAUGGGAGG